rnacentral:rRNA from 1 species
GAUGAACGCUGGCGGCGUGCUUAACACAUGCAAGUCGAACGAUUAAAGCCCCUUCGGGGGUGUAUAGAGUGGCGAACGGGUGAGUAACACGUGGGCAACCUGCCCCUCACAUCGGGAUAACUCAGGGAAACCUGAGCUAAUACCGAAUACUCCGGGAUGGUCGCAUGGCUGACCCGGGAAAGCUCCGACGGGCUGUGAGGGAUAGACCCGCGGCCCAUUAGCUAGUUGGUGGGGUAACGGCUCACCAAGGCGACGAUGGGUAGCCGGGGUGAGAGGCUGCUAGGCCAGACUGGGGCUGGGCCACGGCCCGGAAUCCUCCGGGAGGCAGCAGUGGGGAAUCUUGCGCAAUGGGCGAAGGCCCGACGCAGCAACGCCGCGUGCGGGAUGAAGGCCUUCGGGUUGUAAACCGCUGUCAGCAGGGACGAAUCUGACUGUACCUGCAGAAGAAGCCCCGGCUAACUACGUGCCAGCCGCCGCCGUAAAAC